CAGGGAAUAGUUUAUCUAGAAUUUCAGCUUUGGGUGUGAUGGUGGAGUUGAGUCUCUUCCUUGA
ensembl:Mt_tRNA